rnacentral:rRNA from 1 species
GGGUGCAAGCGUUAUCGGAAUUAUGGGCGUAAAGCGUGCGCAGGCGGUUUUGUAAGACAGUGGUGAAAUCCCCGGGCUCAACCUGGGAACUGCCAUUGUGACUGCAAGGCUAGAGUGCGGCAGAGGGGGAUGGAAUUCCGCGUGUAGCAGUGAAAUGCGUAGAUAUGCGGAGGAACACCGAUGGCGAAGGCAAUCCCCUGGCGCCUGCACUGACGCUCAUGCACGAAAGCGUGGGGAGCAAACAGGAUUAGAUACCCUGGUAGUCAAAGGCG